UCAUAAGCCAAUCAGUUUUGCCUUCCAC
rnacentral:sRNA from 1 species